AUUAGUGCUGGAGACUGAAGCCAUCUAUUUAUCCACAGAACAGGUUCAAUGUGGGCAGCAGCAGCUACAGUGCACACUUCCUCCAUACUGCUCUGCCAGUAUGCCUGCUCUGGAGGAAUCACUUCUAGGAUGUUUGAGCUUAGUUCAGUUUCCGUUCCUGUUCAUGCAGUGGCCAAG
rnacentral:sRNA from 1 species